AAGAUAGAGUCCUUAUUAACCUCUAGAUUAGAAAAAUUAAAUAUAUUGGUUUCCUAGAAUCUAGGUGAUUGCCCAAUAAAUAGGAGGAGACCAAGUUAAAGUUAAAAAAAGAAAAGCAGAUAAAUAGCAGAGCAAGAGGCAGGAUGCAUCAUGCCUCGGUCACUACAUGUUUGCAGGCUUUUGUUAAAGACAAUGGUCUGACGUUGAAACUUGGAUUGCCUUGAGUACACCCUCACAGCCCUGCUCAUGGGGCAAGCAUGCCUGGGAGAUGACCUGGGGCACCACGCCCUGCCUAUCUCAGACAAGGAACUCCAGGCAGCAGUGGCGAAGCUGAGCAGCCCCAUCCUUAAGGGGCGGAGGCCGGCUCAUAUUUGCCUAUUAGGGCCGUGGGACGCCGAGGUUCUGCUGCGUCCCUCCUGGAAAUAGAUCCUUCCCAGCCAGCACCCGAAGUCAGCAGCAGAGGGCAAAGCACCUGGGCUUUAGCUCCAAGCUCCACGAUCCUCCUGGUACUGAGAUAUCUUUGUCAUUUACCUGGGAUUUACAGGGACCAAAAAGCUGGACAUCAUUCACCACCGGGAACAGCAUAUUGUUCCUGGAAGAGGCAAAAGCCUAGGGCUUCAAGAUGCCGGGGCUUCAAGAAACCAAGGCAUGACCUCAAGAGAUUUGCCGGAGGUGGCCUCGGUGGCAGCAGUCAUUGAAGAAAGGAAGACAGCUGCCCAGCCAGUCUGACAGACCAUACACAGACAGCCCUGUUCACAGGGAGACAAGUGUCUCUGCACAACCCGCGGCCACCACGGCGGCUUCAGGAAAGGCUCCCACAUUCCCAGAGCCUCUGCUGCGGCUCACUGACAAAUCAGCCCCUCAAUAAUCUUAUUGUAUGUUUUCAAAAUAAUUCUCAGUAAUGCCCCAAGAAUGUCUGAACUUCUGUGUGAACUCUCUAGUUUGCAUAUUUUUCAGCUUAUUAGCGGGAACUCUGAUAGACAAAGCCCAUGACCUUGCUUUUCCACGGACCUCUUGGCUGGGGUGCAAGGGCAGCCUCUCCUGCUGGUGAACUUGCAGUGCCCUCCUGUCUUGUUCUGAUUCUCUCUUACACUGAUUCCAGCCUCUUUCUUCCCUUGCCCUCUUCAUAGCCAACAGUAAGAAAUAAAUCUCUUGGCUUUGAUGAUGGUUUACUCAUUAGAGAAGGCCACAAGAUUCAGGUUCUGAAUUUUCAUGAAGCAAGAUUCUGGAAAAAGAAAGAGAGAGCAGAGAUAGUGUUGCCUUUGAUUACCUGUUUACCCCAAACCCAGCGCCUCUGGGAAGGGAGCACUCGGCUUCUGAUUUCAGGAUGACUGCAUGCGACCACAGUUCUAAUACAGCUUGUCAUUCAUAAAUCCCUGAGACAUCACAAGCCCAGCCAGAUGUGAUGUGGCCUGGCCUAAUCCUUCAAUGCAAUGCAAGGGAGGGUGGAAGUUAAACCUUAAUUAAAAACAAGAUCUGAUACUGCAAAAUUACCGUUUUAAAAAUGCUUUGAAUGGGCUUAAUUGGGAGUGUAUUCAAGUGUAUGGAUACGCAGACUCAGGAGACACUGUUUUCUUGUUUCCUUAAAUGCAGCUAAUUAUAUAGAAUCAUAAAGAAGAUAAAUAUCAGACUUCAUAGCUAUAGGAUAAGCUUCUCUCCAACACGUCUACCCAGGUUUUAGCUAUAUAUAGCUUGAUAUAUUUUGAUUGCAUUUGCCAAUUCUUCUCUGUGGAUUUCCAGUUACAUGUAAAAUAACCUCAGAGUUAGGGUCCUGCAACAAAGACAAAGGGCCAAUUUUUUGCUUAAGUCAUCCAGUUCCCAAUUUUUGCUUAAGUCAUCCAGUCACUUCUAUAUUUACUCUUUUUUUUCCCCAAGAAACCUUCCGUGAUUACUAUCAAAGUUGAGUCUUUUCCCCAAAGCUCCUAUUAGAUCUAUGUAAGAUCUUAUAAACUGUCUUGGUUUCCCUUUUAUACUUUUCAAUUGCUUCCCUGUUCAACCUUAUGAAUAAUUUUUACCAGUUUUUUUUAUUUUUUUAAGAGACAAGGUCUCACUCUGUUGCCCAGGCUAGAGUUCAGCAGCGCAGUCAUAGCUCACUGCAGCCUUAAACUCCUGGGCUUAAGCAAUCAUCCUGCCUCAACCUUCUAAGUAGCUGGGACUACAGGUGUGCAUCACCAUAUCCCGCUAAUUUGUUAAAAAAAAUAUUCUGUAGAGACCAGCUCUCCCUUUGUUACUCAGGCUGGUCUCGAACUCCUGGCUUCAAGCAAUCCCCACACCUAACUUUCCCAAAGUACUGGACUUACAGGCAUGAGACAUAAGCCACUUCACCUAUCUUCUUCCUCCUCCUCCUCUUCUUCUUCUUCUUCUUCUUCUUCUUCUUCUUCUUCUUCUCCUUCUUCUUCUUCUUCUGCUUCCUCCUUCUUCUCCUUCUCCUUCUCUUUCUUCUUCUUCCUUCUUCAUUUUUGACGGUGCCUAAUCUGUUUAACCAUUCUAUUAGAAUUUUUAUUUCAAUUACAACUGUUUUUAUUUUAUAAAUUCUAUUUGUUUUGAAAUUUGUAAGAUUAUUAGUUUUAGUCCUUUCUCCUUAUAUAAUUUUAAUCCCCUCUAUUAUUACUUUUUGCCAAUUAAACUCACAUAUUUCAUUUGGGACAAA